CGGAGCAUAGCUCAAUGGUAGAGCGGCGUGUAUUCAGUAGCGAUGGCGUGUCACAUUGACGAUACGUUGCUGCGGAGGGAUCCGGACCAGUCACCCGGUUUUCAAUUCAGUGACGGUGCAGGUUCAAGUCCUGCUGCUCCGC
rnacentral:tRNA from 1 species